rnacentral:tRNA from 1 species
GCGUAGGUGGUGGAAUUGGUAGACACGCUACUUUGAGGGGGUAGUGCUGGUUACAGCGUGUGAGUUCGAGUCUCAUCCUACGUA